rnacentral:rRNA from 1 species
UACGAAGGGGGCUAGCGUUGUUCGGAAUCACUGGGCGUAAAGCGCACGUAGGCGGACUCUUAAGUCGGUGGUGAAAUCCUGGAGCUCAACUCCAGAACUGCCUUCGAUACUGAGAGUCUCGAGUCCGGGAGAGGUGAGUGGAACUGCGAGUGUAGAGGUGAAAUUCGUAGAUAUUCGCAAGAACACCAGUGGCGAAGGCGGCUCACUGGCCCGAUACUGACGCUGAGGCACGAAAGCGUGGGGAGCAAACAGG